UAGGGAAUAUUGCAAAAUGGGCGAAAGCCCGAUGCAGCAACGCCGCGUGGGCGAUGAAGGCCUUCGGGUCGUAAAGCCCUUUUUGAGGGGAUGAGGAAGGACAGUACCCUCAGAAUAAGCCUCGGCUAACUACGUGCCAGCAGCCGCGGUAAAACGUAGGAGGCGAGCGUUAUCCGGAUUUACUGGGCGUAAAGCGCGUGCAGGCGGAUUGGAGAGUUGGAUGUGAAAGCUCCCGGCUUAACUGGGAGAGGUCGUUCAAUACUUCCAGUCUUGAGUGCAGUAGAGGGAAGUGGAAUUCCGGGUGUAGUGGUGAAAUGCGUAGAUAUCCGGAGGAACACCAGUGGCGAAAGCGGCUUCCUGGACUGUAACUGACACUCAGACGCGAAAGCUAGGGUAGCAAACG
rnacentral:rRNA from 1 species